GGUCCGUAUAGUGAAAACUGUGAUUUCGGACUUGAAAAUACUGCCGGCAGCAUUUUCAAGACCUCGGUCACAGUUUUUGACUAUGCGGACCUCCCAGGCACUGUAAUAACUCGUUAACCGCAUUUAAGGUAGGUUAAGACACUUUAUAUUUCUCUCCCAGAUUUGACUGCAUUUCGACCUACAAGUUGACAUCUCGGUAUAAAACAGUAAUUUGUUUCAUAGAAGGAAAAAAAAUGCCCGCCCAGUUUUCUCACAAAGAGAUACAUUCCAGUUUAUCGAUCUGUGAGAAAUGAAAAAUCGCCGUUUAUCAUUCUUUGGCCCGAAUUAGACAGAUUUGGCGCUCAAGUUUGCGUGAAAAGCUAAAGCCCGGGUUGUUCGAAAGGUAGAUAGCGUUAUCCACCUUUCGAACAACUAGGGCUAGGGCUAUACUAGCAUUUUGUCCAAGAAGUUUCGUCCCGGUUACCUAGACUGGAGUGUUUAUAUGGGAAAAUUUUCAUCCCGGUUACCGAGAUCUCGUUCGCAAAACCGAGAUCCCGGUAACCGGACCAGCCCGGCUUCUCAUUUGAACACUUCGAAAUUUUUACGAAGGAAAGAGUGGCGGGCGAGAUCUCGGAAACCGAGCCAGCCCAGUUGACCGGGCUCAUAUGAAUUAAGAGGCCCUAAGUGUGGUGCUAAUCAUCCAGCUUUAUGCAUAAUGACUUUAUUGUAUGAAAAUGUCCCUCUCUAUUGACUCUAUUGUUCGUUUCCACGAUAUUCCUGAUACUGCGUAUUUUUCUAAACACUUGGGAUGUUUCCGACUAUUCUCCGCAAGUGUGAGAUCGUGUUGGUCUUUGUUUAUAAACUUCCGUGACACAUGAUAAAUUUCUGCCUGCAAAUGAUUGGCUUGUGAAAAACCUAGAGAACGCUCACCUACCAUUUGUGCACGUGUUUACGUGUGCACGCUCCCAUGCAAAUUUCUUGUCAAAUGUUUUCUCGUUUCUUCUGAAACGAGCUGGCUUCAACUUUUGUCCGAGCUUGCCGUACCAAGAACACAGUGAACAUGGAUUCAAGCAGAUACAAAAAAGCAUCUCAGUUGGCAAACCUGUGGAAAGUGCAAAAACCUAUACUCUAGAAAGGAAAGGUAAGAAGGCUAAAGCCGUUUCCCAGCCUUGCCGACUGCGUGGUCAAUGAAGCGUUUGUCUAUGGUCGUUAUUCGUCUACAUGCACACCUCUGAAAUAGUUUAAUAGUAUGAUAUUCUUAGAUGGAGAAGUGAUAUGUUUUCUAGCUCUCGAUGAAGCUCUUGUUAUGCUCGAAAAGUUUAUAUCACAAAUACGAGUGAUACACAUGAUACUGAGAAUUUUAAGUUUGGCUUGAACCUGCCCAUUUUGAACUGCGCCAAAGCUCUUGUCCUUUGUUAUAAUGUCGUUUAUGGAGAUUAAGCUUCUUAUAAAUUUUUUUGCUUAGAAUUUUAAUUUCGAUGUAAUUUUAUUUCGUAGCUCUUAAAAUAUAAGUCCGGACCCUCAGUCAGAAUUUCAGUCGUUGAGUCGCGUCAAAAACGCGGCAAAUUUGAAUUUUGCGCCAGCAAAACACGGUUGUUGAAUACAGCGGUCUGUGUGAAACUACACUCGAGUCGACACUCGAGGACACACUCGAGUCAUUCCCAGAGCUCACUGAGCAUUUUCUUCGAAUUCGCUCCUUGUUUGCAAGCGAGCGUGGUCAUUAACAUCUUUAGCCGUUCAAAUCUUGUUACUACACUCCACUUCGUGGUUCUUCGUAGGUUACACUGCAAGUUGCAGGUGUGACUCUUCUGAGAUAUAUAGGAAUGACACAAUGGAUGAAUUGAUUGAACAGUGGAUUGUUUUAGAACUGUAUGCAGCCAUAGAUUUGCCAACUCUUGGAUACCAAAGUAAAUCACCCUACCAUAGGAUAUAGCUCUGGUAUGGCCAAAAAGGAGGCUAGCCAUGACAAGCAUUUGAUGUAACAUGUAUGUUUUCUGUAGUGUAAAUGAAAAGGAAUGGAUAGACAAAUAAAGAAUUCCCGGCAUGUA